rnacentral:lncRNA from 1 species
GAGCCUCUUAAAACUGCUUUUAAUCCUUGAUUACACUUCACAGGAGUGAGACACCCAAGCAGCAACUUUUGUAAUCACAGGGAGAGAACUUAUUUUUAAAUGCUUUCCCCACCUUUAAAGGUCUCUGCUGGGUACUGAUGCUUUGCUGUUGACUGAAGAGUGAAUACAGCUGCACAGGAAACACUGGUGCGUGAUGCCAAACCAUUUACACCUCAGUGAUAAAGUGCAAGCUAUAAACCCUGGGUACCUGAAUUGCUAAAGUAGUUCUAUACUAGGGGUUGCCAUACAUCUGGAAUUUCCUGUCUGGAUUUUCACUUUUUGAAAUAUGGCAACACUACCCUAUCCAUAGCUGUCAACUUUCCCCUUUUCUUGCAAGGAAUCCUAUUUGGAGUAAGGGAAUUUCCCUUUAAAAAAAGGAAAAGUUGACAGCUAUGAUCCUAUACCAUAAUGGCAUAUAGAUAAAAGGAUUUUUAUUGUGUUUGGUUUAGCAGUUUACAUUGAAACCAGAGUAAGGAAAACACCAGCUACUGGGAAGCUAUGCGGGUAGUUUGAUGUUGUGCUGUCCAGAAUGUACAGGGAUUCUAGAAAGAAGCAAUAGACAUGUUAGGGUCAAAAACCACCUGUCUGCGAAUAAUGCAGCUCUUACCUUUAUAACCUCCUGCCAGAAGGAUUUCAAUGAUGAGCAUAAUGGUGCCAAAAGACCCACUCUCAUUAUUAUUUCUUUGGCACAAGACACUACAAGAGCAUUGGAUAUGAGCCAUAAACUAUUGUGUAAAACCAAUGGUGAAUUAAGAGAGUUUUCCUGAAUAUAAGCUGGCACAAAGGUAAAUGGUUUUGUGGACCAUUAUCCAUCUGGCCAAUUGAGCUAUAGCCAGGUCAGCUCCCACAUCUCUCUCCCAGACUGCCUUCAAACCCACAAAUUGAGAGAACGAGGCUUCCAAAAUGAUAGAAUAAAUCAAAGAGACCACGUCCUUCUGGUGACCUCACCGCCAAGCUUUCAAAAGCUAUCAGGGACCUCUUUGCUUGACCUUUAAUGGUGACAUCUGAUAGAAAAUAGCUGGACUAAUGAAGUUUUAACCCAUUUUAACUUGAACCCCUAAAUCUCCUUGAGUGCUGUAGUUUAGUCACUGGGGAAUUGCUCAGAAAAUUUUAAGGCAUGCACUUAAAACUGUAACAAUGAAAGAGAGAUCAGUGAUGCUUCAAAUCAGACAUUUGUCCUACAUGAGAUCCUGUACACAUGUACAGUUGUAUGUCUACUUUGUCCAGUCAGAUUAUAUGGAAGCAGCUGCUUGUUGUUGUUGUUUUUUAAAUGAAAAUCCAUAUCAGAUUUUUUAACUUUGAAACAUUCAAUCUUUUUUCAUGAACAAGGAAGAGAAAGGAAACCCGCGAUGCAGAGCAUAGGGCACACAACUUGCAGCACUUAUUGGCAAGAUGUGCUGCAAUUUAACUAACUUGGCGUACUGGCAGUAGCCAGCGCAAGGGUUCAUGCUAGCACAAUGGGGCUUCCUUGCACUUCUCCCACAAUGCCUCCCCCAAAUCUACUCUGGAGGGUCAGGAAUAUCGCCCAGAACAGGGCACUGAGGGAACUUGUGCAGAUGGAAUGAUCAGAAGACUGUUACAUUGAAUUCCCCUCCUAAUUUCCCAGUAUGUCCUUUAGGGUGGUCUUCAACCACGUUUUACUCCAAGUACACCCAUUAAAAUUCAUGAACGUGACCAAGUUAGGUCCAUUAAUUUCAAGGGUACAAUUUAGCUGAAUACCAAUCCUGAUGUUUUAAUCUAGUUAUCAGAGCAUUUAGUUUAUUGUGCUAAGGUUUUGGUUAUGGGGGAGGGAUGGUUUUUACUUGAAGUAACAGAGCUUCAUGUGAGAUAAACAGGAGUUACUUACCAGGGACUAAGGAAGGUGGUGGCUGAGUGGGGGGUUAAGAACAAAACACCUAUCUGUAAUGUUGUCAGUUGAUGCCCAAGUAUACCAGAGUAUAAUCUCUUGUGCUUCUAAAUCUCAGAGGAUUUAGGCAUAUUUCUGAUAUAACUUAGUCCUUCCAUAUAUUUUUCCUUGAGCAAAUUUGUACGUACUUUAGAUAUUCUGUCGUUGAUCCUAAAGGCAAGUGAUGGUCUGCUGCACUCAGUCGCUCUGAAUAAAUUUCCUGGCUACAAAAGGCCUUCAAGAUGAGAUUGAUCUAAAAAUGUGGGAUUUUCUUCUGAUGCUCACUCAUCUAUUGCACACAAUAAUAGGAUGCCUGCUGAAAAACUGUCUUGACAUUAGAAGUAAUGAACAGGAUAUUUUUGUGUGUGUUCAUAACUUACCAGAAUGCUGUAACCCAUGGCCUCAAAAGCAGUGAGUAGAAAAUGGAUCAUAUCUCAAGAGACUGGUCAUUCACAAACAAAUGUUUAAGAUAUUCUCAAAUCUUUUCCUACAUUGUCAUAAAACCCCUAUGAGACAAAACCCUGUGGCCGUUUUAUCUUCCAUUUCCUUACACACAGUCACUACGUCCCUCAGGAAAUUAAAGGCAUUUCUCGACCGGAUGCCACCAACAGAUUAAUUAAGAUAGUUUCUGAAGUCUCAUUUAAUUAUCUAAAUUGAUGACAAAUUUGGCAAUUAAGGAAUUUAUCUAGGUUUCACUUUGUUGAGCAGGG